GACCAAAGCAAGUUGGUGGGUUAAUUGCCUAGAAAAGAUUUUUCAUAUGUCUUACUCGCCCGUACCGUAAACCGACACAGGUGGGUGAGUGUAAAUGCACUAAGGCGCGCGAGAGAGACCUCUCUAAGGAACUCGGCACAUUAGCCUCGUAACUUCGGGAAAAGAGGUGCUCACUUCGGUGAGCCACAGUAAAUUGCGUUUAGCGACUGCUUAACAAAAACACAGCACUCUGCUAAGUCGUUAAGACGACGUAUAGGGUGUGACACGUGACCAAUGCGGAAAGAUUAAGGCAUUUUGUUAGCCGCAAGGCGAAGCUCGGUGCCAAAGUCCCCGUGAAUGUCGGCCGUAACUAUAACGGUCCUAAGGUAGCGAAAUUCCUUGUCGGGUAAGUUCCGACCUGCACGAAUCGUGUAACGACUGAACGACUGUCUCGGAGAGGAUCUCGGCGAAACUGUAACUGCGGUGAAGAUGCCGCAUGCCCGCAGUAGGACGGAAAGACCCUAUGCACCUUUACUGUAAGCUGGUAUUGUGUUCUGAUUAAUAAUGCGUAGCGUAGGUGGGAGGCUUUGAAGUGAGUGCUUCGGUGCUCAUGGAGCCGCAAUGUGAAACACCACUCUUUGCUAAUUAGGAUUCUAACCUCGAUUCCUGUCAACCAGGCGAGGGACAGUGCUUGCGGGUCAGUUUGACUGGGGCGGUUUCCUCCCAAAGAGUAACGGAGGAGCGCGAAGCUUGGCUCAGCACGGUUGGCAACCGUGCGUCGAGCGUAUGGGUAUAAGCCAGGUUAACUGUGGGACCUACAAGUCGAGCAGAUGCGAAAGCAGGCCCAAAUGAUCCGAUGGUUUAAUGUGGAAUUGCCAUCGCUCAACGGACAAAAGGUACGCUAGGGAUAACAGGCUGAUCGGUUCCAAGAGUUCACAUCGACGAACCGGUUUGGCACCUCGAUGUCGGCUCAUCGCAUCCUGGGGCUGGAGAAGGUCCCAAGGGUCCGGCUGUUCGCCGGUUAAAGCGGUACGCGAGCUGGGUUCAGAACGUCGUGAGACAGUUCGGUCCUUAUCCACUGUGGGCGCAGGAAUCUUGAGGGGUUCAUUCUCUAGUACGAGAGGACCGAGAAUGACGCACUUCUGGUGUGGCAGUUGUUCCAUCAGGGGCAUCGCUGCGUAGCCAUGUGCGGAAGAGAUAAGCGCUGAAAGCAUCAAAGUGCCAAGCUCAUCCCAAGAUAUGGAUUCCCGGACGCAAGUCCCUAAAGACCCCCGGCAGACUACCGGGUUGAUAGGUCAGGCAUGUAAGCGUCGCGAGAUGUUUAGUGGACUGAUACUAAUUGGUCGUGCGGCUUGAUCGC
rnacentral:rRNA from 1 species